rnacentral:lncRNA from 1 species
CCCAACUCUGCAAAUGGUAUAUUUUCUUUGUUCUUCUAGAGAGUCUAACAAAAAAUGACUUUCGUCCCACUUUAUACAUAAAGCAAUGAAUCUCAUACAUCCCAACCAUACAACACAACACCCAAACGCACACACCCAAAUCAAGAUACAAAUAUGAUGAAGAGCGGCUAAGCUAACUCAAAGCGAACAACAUACGUACAAGAAGUAUCACUAUGAAGAUGACGGAGCCCUCUACCGAGAACAAGCCACCAUGAAGAACACAACUGUCCGUUGACGAAGUAUGAGCCCCAAAAUAGUGCCUUCAGGAAAGGCAUGACAUCAUAGUGCCACCACCACCUGAUCCAAAGGACCAAGAUUUUUAUCUCGGGCAACAUGAGGAUCGGGAGAGACCACGACAGAGACUACAAGAAGAUGACACCCGCAGACGCCACCACCAUCGGUCUGACCAUGGUCAGACAAGGAUUUCACCCCAGCAUACCGUUCCACCUUCGAUCUGGGUGUGCCAGGUCGAGAGACCUGCCGCACCACCGCCACGAAUCGCCAAGCUUGAGCCAGCCUACCGCCCACGCGACCGGGGCCGCCAGUCCGUCCCCGAGCUGCUAGCUCCGCCCACAAACACCGCAACUCCCACCGUAGAGUCGCUGCUCUACCACCCGACACCCCCAUCGGCCUCCCAAAGCAGUUAAUCUCCACCGUGAACAGACUCCUAGCAGCGUCGGAGCCGCCACCGCCGACAUGCCUUGACAGAUGGAGCCGGAGGCAACCAGACUAGGGGAAAGAGGAAGGGGUGGCGCGAUGCGAGACCUCAACCGGCACACCCCCACGCUGAUGACGGGUGGGUAGACCACCCAUCCCUCCAGUCGGCCUCCUUAAGUUGGCCCCUCUGAUGCCCCGCCAUGGCCUCCAGUUUAGAUCUGCGAGGAGCACGCCAGACACGCGCCCGAUGACGAGGGCGCCCGGACGGUCAAGAUCUUCUCGAAGAUGGCCACUGGAGGUGUCAUGCCGGGCCUUGCCCACCGGCCACCGACUGCCAUGCAAGACGCAGCAAACGCGCCCGUGCCUCGCCGGUGAGGCGUACCGCACCGUCCGUGGCCAGAUUUGGCUGAUCCAUACCAAGUUGCCGCCGCCCCAUCAAUGGACGCGCACACGCUCGUGAAGCCCACCAUGCCACCCCCACGCGCUCGUUAUCCCACCGCCAGCGUGACGCAACGCUCGUCUUCGCUAGCUCAUGCCAGCCGACACCACGCAAAGGGAGUUGCGGUGUUCAUGGGCGAAGCUCGCAGCUCAGGUGCGGACGGGCGGCCCCGAUCGCGUGGGAGGCAUGGUGGCUUAGGCUUGGUGAUCCGUGGUUG